CCAUGGCCAUGCCUUAUGCCACCACUGGGCCUGGCCACCUCAUGCGCCCAUAUCAACUAUGACUUGAAUCAGUUCCUACACCUGUGUGUACACCUCAACUGCAUACCUGACAUCUGGGUGCUGCAUUACUGGAGCACAGCAGCAGCAGACAUUUUGACACAGCCUUCUUCCUUUGCUGCCUGCGGGAGCCACUGGCCAUCUACUCUAACUUGGCCAAGGUGGUGGGCUGCCAGUGGUCAUCUCCAUCAGCAGCAACUGAAAGUUUUAUGCCUGAAGAAAUUUGGCACCCACAUAGUUUUAUGAAAUAAGACUUAUUCUUUGCCUCUCUCUGACUUGCACAAAUUUUGUUUGGAUCUUGCAUUAGAAGGGGUAGAAAGACGGCUGAUGAUCACGUUAACUGCUAAUGAAAUGCUCCAGCUUUUACCAGGUGAUAAGCUAUAUUUAGAUUCACACUUUUUACAGUCUUGUCUGCUAAAAAAAAAACUGAAGAAAUCAUGAAGGUAGACAAAAAGUUUCACCAAGUAGUGAUGUAAAAUUGACAUCUUAACACUCAUGUGACUGUUCAAAGUAUAAAUACACUCAUUCUAAGAAUUAUGUAGUAAGAACCAUUUG
rnacentral:lncRNA from 1 species